GUAAAAUAUGAUAAAUAACAGAAAUUGUAUUUUUCAAUUCACCUCAUACAAGUGCUGUAGUUCAAUCUCUAUCCUGAAAGUGUUACUUACAAAUGUAGAUUUUUUAUUUUUUUUUGGCUACAUAACUGCACUCAAAAACAAGCCAAUGUAAAACUUUAGGGCCUAC